CAUCGCUCUCUGGCUCUCGUUCUGGAAGUCGAAGGUGUGGACGCACGGAGCCAUGGAGGGAGGGUUGGAUAGGGUUUCUGGCCUUGUUUUCAAAUUGGAGAGCGCCAACAAGCAUGGAGGUGAGCCUCGGCCUUGGCGCUUCUCCCUCUGUCUCUCUGUUGUUCACACUUUCGAUCUCGAGCUUCAGUCUUCGGCCUCUCCGUUCUGCAGUUAGAUCUCUCUACUUAGACGCUUAGAUCUUCCGUAUGGGAGGAUUUUGUUGAGAGGUUUCGCGGAUUCUGCUGUGGUUAUUUAUCACUGUCGUCUCUAAUUCGCUUGGUGCAGGUCGGGAAUGCUUCGCUCUGUAGCUGCCGUCUCCUUCCUCUCGCAAGAUUCCAUUUCUUUACGGGCGAACGGAUUCCCGCCUUGCAUCAACUGAAUCGGAGAUGGCUGUGAAGUUGGCGGUGGAUUGGUGCUUCCGGCGUCGCCGAUGGUCAGAUCUUGGAUUCGAUUUGAAUGGCUUUCUGCAUCCAUGACAAGAACUUCUUUGCCACAACUGCCCCUCUCCGGCUCUCUCUUUGGAGGUGGGUUCAGAUCUGCCUUCGGAAGGGAAGGUCUUCACCGCUCACCAGGACUCUAAGAUCUGAGUCUGGCAGCUAACCCCGACCAAAGGACAUCAGCUUGUGGCGAUGCUUCCCACCAUCAAGGACUGUGUCCGCCGUUUCGUUCUACUGAAGAAUUACGUUCACGUCAGACGUCACAAGAAACAGCUAUGGAUUGAACAUACUGGUGCGGUCUCUGGCCUCGCCGAUUCCGCUUCCUGGGACAAGUGCUUGAAAGUAUGGCAGGCGUUGGAGUGUAUGAAGAUGCCAUAAACGCCGGUGCUGUUUCUGUCGACAGAAUCAUUUAUACACGGCUGGAGCGGAUAGACACAUUAGGGUAUGGGGAAGAACCUCAGGAGAGAGACGGAGAAGAGUGAGCGAGAGAGGAGGAGAAGAGAGAGAGAGAGAGCGAUGUAAUAAAUAUAAAGUUUAUCAAAUGCAUGCAAAAUCGAAUUAUAGAUGUAAUUAAACAGCUUGGUGUAAAAUUACAUGUUUAUCAAAUGCAUGCAAAAUCGAAUCAGAAUAUAAAGUUUAUCUUGGUUCGAUUUUACACCUUUACCAAAUGCAGCCUUAUGUAUUCUACCUCCAUACUUCUCUCCCUUGUUAUAACAUCAAGGAAGUGGUUCUUUGUCAUUUUGUUUA